GGGUAAAUACCCAUAUUUUCGG
rnacentral:snRNA from 1 species